CUCAGCCCCUCCCACUCGCAAUGAUUUUUUUUUACCCUAUUGCCCAGCUCUAGUUUAAACUUAGGAUUCGUUUAUCAUACUGUGAAGAUAAAUAAGAAUCUGACAUUUUUCUCACCCUCUGUUUACUUCAGGAGCCCCUGAAUACCGAUGACAGAAACUGCAUCAUGAAUUGAUUUCAGAUUCCUAAACGAGAUCUCUUCAGCUCGGUACAUUAACAUUAACAUUAACCGGUGCUGAGAACCAGCAAAGUAAAACACAUUCAGUCUCUGUGGGACGUUUUGUCCUUAAGACAAUCAUCGCUACUCACUGAGAUGAAUCAGAAUCCAUUCUUCAUGAUUGAGGAUCAAAGUUUUCAUGAUGUUUUCACAGAAGAGCAAAAGAUGAAGAAGAAAAAAAUUCUAGCUCAUCUCAUGAACAUCGAUGUCCUCAUCACUGAGCUCCACUAUGUGAUCAUGAACAUCAAGCUCAAAGAAAUCGGUCCAGACUGGCCAAUCUAUGAGACCUUUAAAGCCUUUGUUGAUGUCAACGAGAUUGACACUAAGGCAGUGGAGUGUCUGGAGGAUCUUCAGGACCUGAACAUGACCCAUGGCAUUGCUCUGUGGAAACUAGCUGUGCAGAUAAAGAAGGGUGUAAAAGGCACUCUCUACAAGUGAUUAUGAAUGAUAUGAGCACAAUUAUCCAUAUUCAUUUCCACAUCAAUGAACAUGGCUCUGCCAUUUGGUUCAACUUUGACUGCACAGCAGGUGGUAGCACAUCAGAAAAUGCGUGACCUGAACUAGGGCUGCAACUAAUGAAUAUUUUAGUAGUCGACUAAUCUGAUGAUUAUUUUUUCAAUUAGUUGUUUGCAGCAGAUUGAACACAAACGCUUAAACUGGGAACGUAUUUAUUUACUGUAACAGUAGAUUAACCCUUAUUAAUAAACAGAAAUAAAAUUAAUCUGAGGAGAAUCUU
rnacentral:lncRNA from 1 species